rnacentral:ncRNA from 1 species
UUAAACUGCGCUUCCUCCGUGGCGCAAUGAAGGUGAAGGCUGGGCUCCGCCCCGGCUGAGGUGGGAUCCCGAGGCCUCUCCAGUCUGCUGAGGGUGCACCACCGGCCCGUCUCGCCCGCCCCAUCAGGGAGGUAGAGCACGAGCGUACGUGUUAGGACCCGAAAGAUGGUGAACUAUGCCUGGGCAGGGCGAGCCAGAGGAAACUCUGGUGGAGGUCCGUAGCGGUCCUGACGUGCAAAUUGGUCGUCCGACAUGGGUAUAGGGGCGAAAGACUAAUCGAACCAUCUAGUAGCUGG